AUUGAACGCUGGCGGCAGGCCUAACACAUGCAAGUCGAACGAGUGGCGGACGGGUGAGUAAUGUCUGGGAAACUGCCUGAUGGAGGGGGAUAACUACUGGAAACGGUAGCUAAUACCGCAUACCAUCGGAUGUGCCCAGAUGGGAUUAGCUAGUAGGUGGGGUAAAGGCUCACCUAGGGGACGAUCCCUAGCUGGUCUGAGAGGAUGACCAGCCACACUGGAACUCGGACACGGUCCAGAUUCCUACGGGGGGCAGCAGUGGGGAAUAUUGCACAAUGGGCGCAAGCCUGAGGCAGCCAUGCCGCGUGUAUGAAGAAGGCCUUCGGGUUGUAAAGUUCUUUCAGCGGGGAGGCGGUACCCGCAUAGGAAGCACCGGCUAACUCCGUGCCAGCAGCCGCGGUAAUAC
rnacentral:rRNA from 1 species